rnacentral:rRNA from 1 species
UACAGAGGUGGCAAGCGUUGUUCGGAAUUACUGGGCGUAAAGGGCGCGUAGGCGGCCUUCUAAGUCAGACGUGAAAUCCCCCGGCUUAACCUGGGAACUGCGUCUGAUACUGGAAGGCUUGAGUGCGGGAGAGGGAUGUGGAAUUCCAGGUGUAGCGGUGAAAUGCGUAGAUAUCUGGAGGAACACCGGCGGCGAAGGCGGCAUCCUGGACUGGUCCUGACACUCAUGAGCGAAAGCGUGGGGAGCGAUCCGG